AUAACAUAUUACCUCUUUCUAUUUUAUAGAUACAUGGUUUGGUAGACUACAGGUGGUCACAAAUUCUUUGCCCCUCUUCUACUUAAAGAGAUGGAAUCUAUUUCCCUCCCCUUGUAUCUGGCCUGCCCUUGUAACUUAUUUUGUCAAUAGAAUGAGGUAGAAGUGUAUGACUUCCUGAGGCUGGGCCUUACGCAAUCUUCAGCUUUACGCCCUGGGAUUACGCCCUUCUGGAAGCUAGCCAUCACCCUGGAAGAACACCAAGCUGGGAGAAGAGGCCACAUAGAUGAGAGUUUAUGCCAAUGCACUAUGGUCCACAAUCCCCGCUGAUUUUCCGCCCAAUGCUGUACCAACUGCCAGCCCUGUGACUGAGCCAUCUUGGACACUCCAAUAUAAUGCUGCAGUUAAUCAUAAGGUGGCUUUCUGUUGUAUUUCACAAUCUAUUUACAAGACUUGCUUAAAGCCCUUGUAUUCCUGAGGGACAGGAAAUUUGGUCUCUUCAUGAUUGUAAUCCUGAAAACCUAGCGUCAUAGCUCCUACAUAGGAGACUCAAAUUGAUAACAAUUUGAGAGAAACUGGUUCUGCAUGGAAUUCCACAGAUAAAACCACUCUUUUCUCUUUUCUGACAUCAUCUGGGAGGAUUUUGUUGAGAAAGAACAAACAAGCUUUAUUUUGAACACCCACCCAUGCUGGAAACACGAGGACGUAAGUCUGGGUGACAUGGGAUACUUCUGAGUCUCUCUCUUCUCUAGCGUCAUUUACUCAUUCACCAGGAGUGACUGCUAUUUCUUCUAAUACUAAUCAAUUAAUAUUACAAAUACCAAACACUUAUUUAUCAUCCUGCACACACACACAUCUACCAGAGGUCUGGAAUGUUGGUGGGUGGGUAGAUACUUUAACCUUAUCUAACCUCUACACAAUAAUUAAUUUUAAUAGCUUUUCUCACUGGUUACAUGAUCUCCUAACUUCUCGGUAGUGGUAUAGUGGUAUAACUCUGUAGAGAAACUGAUUAAGAAAAGAAAA